CACAUUUAAGCGUGAUAUUUGAUUUAUAUGAGCAUCAGGAACUAGAUAUUCAGGCAUAAUUCAGCAUACUUUGUGCAGAAUGAAUUGUUAAGUGCAUCUAUAGAAAACGAAUGAUUGGUAUUCAGCCAAGCUUUGCCUAUGUCUUUCCAUGACCAAAAACAAGUCAGACUUCAAAAGCUGCCAGAUUAUUGUGAAAGGAGAAACACUGUUUUCGAAGGCUGCUGAUAAUGCCUAUUAGCCAGAAGAAAGAGCCUGAAUCAUUCAAAGGUUUUCCAUCUAGUAAAGAAGUGUGGUAAAAAUCUUGCCCAGAUCUGCAUGUGCUAAGCAUCUACGUAAGUUGGAGCAUCAUAUUAAUGACACCCAGUGAAGAAACGAAAGAAUGAAGUGUAAUUACUAUAUCAAAAAUCCACAGAAUGUGAAAGUAUAAAGGAAAACUCUCAGGUGAGACUCGAUUAUUUUUAUUUCAAAGAUCUAGGUAAAAAUGUGAACAGAUUGGGAGGCUGAGGCAGGAGAAUCACUUGAACCCAGGAGGCAGAAGUUGCAGUGAGCCAAGAUUGCACCAUUG
rnacentral:lncRNA from 1 species